UGGGGAAUAUUGGACAAUGGGGGGAACCCUGAUCCAGCCAUGCCGCGUGUGUGAAGAAGGCCUUAUGGUUGUAAAGCACUUUAAGCGAGGAGGAGGGUACUGGUAUUAAUACUACCAGGUACUGGACGUUACUCGCAGAAUAAGCACCGGCUAACUCUGUGCCAGCAGCCGCGGUAAUACAGAGGGUGCGAGCGUUAAUCGGAUUUACUGGGCGUAAAGCGUGCGUAGGCGGCUAAUUGAGUCGGAUGUGAAAUCCCCGAGCUUAACUUGGGAAUUGCAUUCGAUACUGGUUAGCUAGAGUGUGGGAGAGGAUGGUAGAAUUCCAGGUGUAGCGGUGAAAUGCGUAGAUAUAGGAAGGAACACCAGUGGCGAAGGCGACCACCUGGGCUCAUACUGACACUGAGGUGCGAAAGCGUGGGGAGCAAACAGGA
rnacentral:rRNA from 1 species